CUUUGCUUGUAAAUGCUUUCUGCUCUGCUGUUAGAUGUGAAAUGGCGUGUCACACUGAUGUGUCAUUGUUGACAGGCAUCAUUGUUGACAGGCCACCUUCCGAGGCCUUGUCCAAGUCUUAUUUUCUCAAAAUUGUGUAUAUUUAUCUUUCAGUCUUCUCUAAAAUUUGUGUCACAACUAUAACUUCUUACUUUGUGGACACCUUAAUUGUCAAUAGGCACAUGACACUUCGGAAUCUCAUCUUCAGCAUGCAAUUCAAUCUUAAUUUAUAACUCACUCAUAUCAAUUCAACUA
rnacentral:lncRNA from 1 species